rnacentral:rRNA from 1 species
GAUCCUGGCUCAGGAUGAACGCUAGCUACAGGCUUAACACAUGCAAGUCGAGGGGAAACGACAUCGAAAGCUUGCUUUUGAUGGGCGUCGACCGGCGCACGGGUGAGUAACGCGUGUCCAACCUGCCCAUCACUUGGGAAUAACCUUGCGAAAGUAAGACUAAUGCCCAAUGAUAUCCCACGAAGGCAUCCGAAUGGGAUUUAAAGAUUUAUCGGUGAUGGAUGGGGAUGCGU